GGCUUUAUAGUUAAUAAAUAAUAUGAAAUUGCAGAUUUCGAGUAGGUAAUCCCUAAAGCCU
rnacentral:tRNA from 1 species